rnacentral:tRNA from 2 species
AGAAACUUAGGAUAACUAGACCAAGGGCCUUCAAAGCCCUAAGUAGAAGUUAAACUCUUCUAGUUUCUG